rnacentral:rRNA from 1 species
GAUGAACGCUGGCGGCGUGCCUAAUACAUGCAAGUCGAGCGAACAGACGAGGAGCUUGCUCCUCUGACGUUAGCGGCGGACGGGUGAGUAACACGUGGAUAACCUACCUAUCAGACUGGGAUAACUUCGGGAAACCGGAGCUAAUACCGGAUAAUAUAUUUAACCGCAUGGUUCAAUAGUGAAAGACGGUUUUGCUGUCACUUAUAGAUGGAUCCGCGCCGCAUUAGCUAGUUGGUAAGGUAACGGCUUACCAAGGCAACGAUGCGUAGCCGACCUGAGAGGGUGAUCGGCCACACUGGAACUGAGACACGGUCCAGACUCCUACGGGAGGCAGCAGUAGGGAAUCUUCCGCAAUGGGCGAAAGCCUGACGGAGCAACGCCGCGUGAGUGAUGAAGGUCUUCGGAUCGUAAAAAUCUGUUAUUAGGGAAGAACAAAUGUGUAAGUAACUAUGCACGUCUUGACGGUACCUAAUCAGAAAGCCACGGCUAACUACGUG